CCUUGCCCACCUCCCUGCGCUCCUGCCUGGCCCCCGCUGCAGCAGCCGUCCUCUGCGGAAGACAGUGGGGAGACCUCAACACCUAACCCCCCCGCCCCGUUUAACAUUUAGACCCGUAAUGCAGGACCACCAUGGCCAGCAGACAGAAGGGCUGAUCCAUGAGCUGGGGUCAUGCAUCCACUGUGACACCUAUUGGGCAGGGAGACGUGUUGGUUCCUGAGAGAUGGUCAAGGUGUAAGCAGAUCUUGUCACACUGCUGUGUGUUUGCUGCUCCUCGUUCAGGGAAAAAGGAAAGUCCUGCGCAAUUUUGGUUUUUAUCUCCUGGGACGAUCAGCUUCUCACAUGGUUGGCAACAAGAUGGCUUCUACAGGAAAACAAGUUUUGGGGGUCCGAUACAGAAAACGUUUUGCUGCUCUCAGAAGGAACUAUCGUUAUCAUGCCCAUUUAACAGACGAGAAACUUGAAGCUCAGAGUGUCACAUACUCACCAAGGGACAGAGCGGAAAUUCAGGCCAUCUGAGUGGCUCCCAUCGCUUCUGCUUUAGGGGAAGAUGAGGAUGGGUUGGAACAUAACUGGUAAUGAAACCUGAAACCUGGGAGAGAUUCUCUAUCACUUAUUAAAAGGAUGGAAAUAAAGGCUUUUCUCUGGACUCAAAAGCUGGGACACUCCUAUUUUUCAGAUUUCGUGGACUCAUUCUCUCUUUUCCUGGUGAUUCAAGGAUCGUGUGUGAAUUGUACCUCUCACCCUCCCCAAGACAGUCUGUCUUCUCUGAAUGACCAUCCUGGAGCCUGCCACGUUGGAUGUCAGCCCUAGACGUGUGUUAGCGUGAGAGGCAAAUUGCAGAGCUUCUGGACGUUGUUGGGAGCUUUGGCAUAAUGUGUCUUAUUACUGUGAAAUGAUGGUUAAGCAACCAGAGUGAGUGAACGUGUAGUUUAACAUAUAAUAUACUUUAAUGAAAGCCUGGAUCUGGCCCCU